AAACUGUGAUGUGGCUAUUUCUUGAUUAACUCUUUGACUCUUUCCCAAGCUUCAUAUAGAAUCUCAUCUUCUUUUUGUUCGAAUAUCACUUCGGAGUUU
rfam:Helianthus annuus linkage group 9, whole genome shotgun sequence.